CACCAUGACUCCCGCCCACUAUUCGGCGCGGAGUGAUGAUGCAAUAGGGGCCGUUUACAGUUCCCGCGCCUCGCGCCGGCCCCGCCCCUCGGCUCGCGCCAGAUCUACCCGCCUAAAAGAGACCAGGUCUACCCCCUAAAAGAGAACAGGUCUACCUGUCAGACUCGGACACCAGCCUUCCUCGUGGUUUCCCCUGUUGCUGGUGGAGCGUGGCAAGUUGUACUUCCUGCUGGGAGAGAGGACCUUGGAAAGCUACUCUGCGACCACAGCUGUGCCGAGCCUGGGAGUUUGUACUGGGGGCUGUUUUAUGGAAACUGCACAGAGCUGAGCCAGAGGAUUGAAAGGGACUAACCCAGUGACGUGAAGAAACAAGGAAGAAGAGAACUGAGGCAGCAGCCAAGCAGGUGAGUUCCUCUGUCAGCAGGUGAGUUGUCUUGAGGUUCCUCGGGCAGGCACUCAGAACUUUGGAUGCUCCAGACAGAGAAGACCUUGUAAACCCCUUGAUGAAGCCCCUCAGAAACCUUAUCAGGGUAAGUGUAUAUGGUUGUAAGUGCUGGGGAAUGUCCUGAGCGUGGAACAGGAAUGCAGGGAACAAAAUGAACCCUCACGGAAUGCUGAGCCCUCCCAUCAUCUGCAGUGGAGGCACCUCUGUGUACAGUGUGGGAGCUGAUGGCCAGGACCCCUGGUGGGCUGGGAUCACUGCAGGGUGUUGUCAGCAAGGAAUGCCUGGCUUCUAAAACUCACCAGCUGAGUUUAGAGGCUUCUUUGCCGAGCUGUUUUGAGGCAGCCAAAUUGUACCCCCAGCAGGGACUCUCAGCCUGCUCUCCCAUGGUUCCCAGGGAUCUCUGGGCCUUCACGCCGGCACCGAGAUGUUCUCGGGAAGGCCCUCAGAUCCCCGGAGCAGUCUGGGACACGGGCAGGAUCCCCCUGCAUUUCGGGGGCAGAUUGAGCCCCCCUGGAGGGACAGUGCUGUUGCUGCCCCCCGGGCUUGGACACUCGGAGGACUCCGGCACGCACUGAAAGGCUUCUUCGGGGAGCUCCUCCAAGUGCCCCAAGCUGGGGAGCUGAAAGCAAGGUCCCUGGAAUGGAUUCAGGCAUUCCUGAGAGUAUCAGAGGUGUAGCUGUCUGUCCUGGCCAUGGAGCUCCGGAAUGGACUGUAACUGGGUUAUAAAAGUGGUGCUCCAACUGCAAAAGGAGUGUGGGAUUGGAAUUAAGGAAUUAAGGAAAACGGUUGUGGCCUAUGAAGGGCCAGGUUGGACAGUUGUCAAACAGUAGCAGAAGUGACUCUCCAGGUAGCCCAAUAUAAAUAUGAGAAGCGAAGUGGUCAAGUAAACCAGUGCAUGCUGUGAGUGCAGAGGCAGGGAUGGGUUGGGAUCCCAAAAACUGGGAUGGAGAUGCUUGGGAUUUAGCUGCUUUUGAGCGUGGUUCAGAGGGUGAAGUGUUUGCUGAAGCACAGCCAAUAACAGGAGGGAAAGUGGAAGGUGACCCGGAUGGUUAUCCCGUCAGGCCUGAUGUGGUGGAGGAUUUUACUCAGCCUGAACUUCCUGGUGUUAUGAAGAGGUUUAAAAGCAAAGGCCAGAGAGUCUGUGAUCUCCUGGGCAGUUGGGCUGCAUGAGCUGGGAGCCUCUGGGAUCAGAUUAGACUGGGCAGACAGGGAGCAGUUUGUCCCGUGGAGCUGGGCUGGGUUUGUUCAGGAUGCCUUCGGAGGCAGGGCUGGAGAGGCUCCUUUGUUGGCUGUAGUGGUGGAAGGUUGUCCCAGGAGGGCUGGAGCCCUUCGACCUCCUGCUCCCCCCGUGAGCCCCGACGGGACCGUGCACUUGGCAAUGGAGGGCCCCCCAUUGCUGAGUCAGCGGUACCGGGGGCCGGCAGGGAUGGGAUCAGGAUGCCGAGCUCCAGCCCAGGCAGGGCAGGAAAUGGUGCAGCCACUGAAAGAAGUGAAGGCAGAGUGAGAUGAAGGCCAAGCUCCAGCACAAGGGUGGGUGAGAAAAGCCCAUGGCCCUCAGGUGGAGCUUUGAAUUCCUUGGAAAAAUGGAUCUUGUCAAAGGGCUCAGGCCCUUGUGGGUGCUGGAGCAGAGGCCUCUUCAACUGAUGGUCAGCCUAAAAAGGUGCAAGGACAGCAAGUUUUGACGAUAGGAUGAGGUGGCAAACAAGGUGAAGUGGUACAGAGAAAAGCUGAGCUUCAGAUUGGUCCUCUGCCACAGCAGCCUUGUGGAGUGCUUAUUGCUGUGCCUGACUGUGGAAGGGCAGUGGAUAUUUCCAAGGGCUGCCUUGUGCUGAGGAACACUGGGGUCAGUUCCCUUUCCCUGGGCAGGGCAGGCAGGGCAUGUUUACCUGGCCCCCUCGAGUGUGGCUCCAUAAGACUUGACCUGAUCACCAAAUGCAAACAGUAAAUAGAGGGGGUCCAUUGGUGACCUUUGGGCAUCAGGUAGAACAACUCACUGCUCACCUCUGGGGGGACAUAUUUACAGCAUUCUCACCGAUAGGAAGUUUUAGAACACUUUAUUCCAUCCACUAAUCAUAGUAAUUACACUGAUUUUAUGAACAAUAUGGAGUUGUUGUCUAUGGUAUCAACCCCAAGAAGUUGUUUCUUGCAUGUCUCUGGCCUGACCAGGGAUCAAAGGACCAAAGGGAAAGGAUGAGAAGUUCCCCGAGAAUUGCUGCCCAGGGGCUGCUGCCCCUGAGGAACAGGGUGAAGGCUGUCUGUGCUCAGGUGCCCUGGCUGAAGUGUGCAGUUGGUGUGAGUGUUGCUGGAGAAAGGCAGGCCAGGUGUGUGCAGCCGUUCUGUGCCCUCCACCCUUGUCCCUGCCAGGGCACCUGGCCAGCGCUCCAGGGGUGGCCAACUUGCCCAAUGGCUGGACAGUGCCAGGCCUGGCCUAAAGCCGGCUUUAUUGGUCAGAGUCUGGCCAGCGGGAGUCUCUUGGAGCUGCCCCGCAGCUUCCCCUGCGGAUGGACACACCCAUAGGAAUUGUGGCAGGUCCCUGAGACUGUGGGAUCGGCUGCACCGGGGCUGCCCAGCUGCCCUGUGGGCUGGGGGUGGAGCGUGAGGGGGCCGUGGGGGAGGGAUUUCUGCUUAGCCACAGUUCUGUCUCUCGGGGCAGUCAGGAUUUGAUGCCUUGCUCAUUUUCUUUUGCAUCCCAUAAAUCUGUAUCCGAUGUGUUGGAUUGUCUUUGUUUAAACUGUUCCUAUUAUUCUAUGACCGGUGAGUUGUUUCCUUGAGUGCCCUGCCUGUCGGCACAACA